rnacentral:rRNA from 1 species
CCUACGGGAGGCAGCAGUGAGGAAUAUUGGUCAAUGGGCGCGAGCCUGAACCAGCCAAGUAGCGUGAAGGAUGACUGCCCUACGGGUUGUAAACUUCUUUUAUAAAGGAAUAAAGUGAGGCACGUGUGCCUUUUUGUAUGUACUUUAUGGAUAAGGAUCGGCCAACUCCGUGCCAUCAGCCGCGGUAAUACGGAGGAUCCGAGCGUUAUCCGGAUUUAUUGGGUUUAAAGGGAGCGUAGAUGGGUUGUUAAGUCAGUUGUGAAAGUUUGCGGCUCAACCGUAAAAUUGCAAUUGAUACUGGCAGUCUUGAGUACAGUUGAGGUAGGCGGAAUUCGUGGUGUAGCGGUGAAAUGCUUAGAUAUCACGAAGAACUCCGAUUGCGAAGGCAGCUUACUAAACUGCCACUGACAUUGAUGCUCGAAAGUGUGGGUAUCAAACAGGAUUAGAUACCCUUGUAGUC